UACGUAGGGGGCAAGCGUUGUCCGGAAUCAUUGGGCGUAAAGCGUACCGAUAGGUGGUUUUGAAAGUCAGAGGUGAAAUUACGAAGCUCAACUUCGUAACUGUCCUUUGAAACUUCAAGACUAGAGGGGCAAAGAGGAAGCUGGAACAAACGGUGUAGUAGUGAAAUGCGUUGAUAUCGUUUGGAACACCAAUAGCGUAGGCAGGCUUCUGGGUGCCACCUGACACUGCUAGGACGAAAGCGUGGGGAGCGAAUGGG
rnacentral:rRNA from 1 species